UGUCUGGGUGUCGGUCAGGAGGUCCGGGCUCACGCAGUGUCAGACAGUGCAUUAGUGCCCAGGUUAGACUAUAUAAUUUGGGUACAGUAGAGUGCUGUGUAGGUGCUUGUCUGGAGAACUCUUCAGGAUAUGAGCAAAGGGCAAGUUUGAGGCGGUUGCUCAGGCUUUUGUCUUUGGAUUUUGUGUCACUGAAGGCCGUG